rnacentral:rRNA from 1 species
GACGAACGCUGGCGGCGUGCCUAAUACAUGCAAGUUGAGCGCUGAAGGUUGGUACUUGUCCCAACUGGAUGAGCAGCGAACGGGUGAGUAACGCGUGGGGAAUCUGCCUUUGAGCGGGGGACAACAUUUGGAAACGAAUGCUAAUACCGCAUAAAAACUUUAAACACAAGUUUUAAGUUUGAAAGAUGCAAUUGCAUCACUCAAAGAUGAUCCCGCGUUGUAUUAGCUAGUUGGUGAGGUAAAGGCUCACCAAGGCGAUGAUACAUAGCCGACCUGAGAGGGUGAUCGGCCACAUUGGGACUGAGACACGGCCCAAACGCCUACGGGAGGCAGCAGUAGGGAAUCUUCGGCAAUGGACGAAAGUCUGACCGAGCAACGCCGCGGGAGUGAAGAAGGGUUUCGGAUCGUAAAACUCUGUUGGUAGAGAAGAACGUUGGUGAGAGUGGAAAGCUCAUCAAGUGACGGUAACUACCCAGAAAGGGACGGCUAACUACGUG